rnacentral:rRNA from 1 species
GUCUAUGGCCAUGUGACCCUGAGCAAGCCCGAUCCCGUCUGAUCUCAGAAGCUAAGCAGGGUCGGGCCUUGGUACUUGGUACUUGGAUGGGAGACCACCUAGGAAGACCAGGUGCUGUAGGAG